AGAAGGACGCAGGCAGCAAAGAGUAGUCAGUCCCUUCUUGGCUCUGCUGACACUCGAGCCCACAUUCCAUCACCUGCUCCCAAUCAUGCAGGUCUCCACUGCUGCCCUUGCCGUCCUCCUCUGCACCAUGGCUCUCUGCAACCAGGUCCUCUCUGCACCACGUGAGUCCAUGUUGUUGUUGUGGGUAUCACCACUCUCUGGCCAUGGUUAGACCACAUCAGUCUUUUUUUGCGGCCUGAGAGCCCCGAAGAGAAAAGAAGGAAGUUCUUAAAGCGCUGCCAAACACCUUGGUCUUUUUCUUCACAACUUUUAUUUUUAUCUCUAGAAGGGGUCUUAGCCCUCCUAGUCUCCAGUUGCUGCUGACACGCCGACCGCCUGCUGCUUCAGCUACACCUCCCGACAGAUUCCACAGAAUUUCAUAGCUGACUACUUUGAGACGAGCAGCCAGUGCUCCAAGCCCAGUGUCAUCUUCCUAACCAAGAGAGGCCGGCAGGUCUGUGCUGACCCCAGUGAGGAGUGGGUCCAGAAAUACGUCAGUGACCUGGAGCUGAGUGCCUGAGGGGUCCAGAAGCUUCGAGGCCCAGCGACCUCAGUGGGCCCAGUGGGGAGGAGCAGGAGCCUGAGCCUUGGGAACAUGCGUGUGACCUCUACAGCUACCUCUUCUAUGGACUGGUUAUUGCCAAACAGCCACACUGUGGGACUCUUCUUAACUUAAAUUUUAAUUUAUUUAUACUAUUUAGUUUUUAUAAUUUAUUUUUGAUUUCACAGUGUGUUUGUGAUUGUUUGCUCUGAGAGUUCCCCCUGUCCCCUCCACCUUCCCUCACAGUGUGUCUGGUGACAACCGAGUGGCUGUCAUCGGCCUGUGUAGGCAGUCAUGGCACCAAAGCCACCAGACUGACAAAUGUGUAUCAGAUGCUUUUGUUCAGGGCUGUGAUCGGCCUGGGGAAAUAAUAAAGAUGUUCUUUUAAACGGUAAA